rnacentral:lncRNA from 1 species
UAAGGACAACAAAGUCAAGGUAUUGGAGUGGCCAUCACAAAGCCCUGACCUCAAGCCUAUAGAAAAUGUAAAAAGCGUGUGUGCGCAAGGAGGCCUACAAACCUGACUCAGCUACAUCAGCUCUGUCAGGAGGAAUGGGCCAAAAUUCACCCAGCUUAUUGUGGGGAGCUUGUGGAAGGCUACCUGAAACGUUUGACUCAAGUUAAACAAUUUAAAGGCAAUGCUACCGAAUACUAAUUGAGUGUAUGUAAACGUCUGACCCACUGGGAAUGUGAUGAAAGAAAUAAAAGCUGAAAUAAAUUAUUCUCUACUAUUAUUCUGAGAUUUCACAUUCUUAAAAUAAAGUGGUGAUCCUAACUGAUCUAAUAAGGGCUUUUUUACUAGGAUUUAAUGUCAGGAAUUGUGAAAAACAGAGUUUAAAUGUAUUUGGCUAAGGUGUAUGUAAACUUCAUCUAAUGUGUUAUAUUCUCCUACAUUAAUUUCACAUUUUCACAAACUUCAAAGUGUUUCCUUUAAAAUGGUAUCAAUAAUAUGCAUAUCCUUGCUUUAGGUCCUGAGCUACAGGCAGUUAGAUUUGAGUAUGUCAUUUUAGGCAAAAAUUGAAAGAAACUGUACAAUCUUUAAGUUAUCAAUAUUAUUUAAAAAAAUGUAUGAUUUGUAGGACCAACUCAAUUGGCUUCCCACAUACUCUACAUAUCUCACUCUCUCUUCCUUUCUGCCACCCCAGCUGAGCCCAAUCCAGCCUGCUCUCUCCCCAGCCCAGUCUCCCCUCCUCUGCCCUCCCUCCCAGCUCCUCUUGACCUCCACGGCCCUCCAGAAGUCAGUGCUGCCCUCCCCUCUUCUCCAAUCACAGCCCUCUCCAGGAGAGACUGAUCAAUUCGCCCUCCAUUUUGGCUCCCCAGGCCAGCUGGGCCUGCCCGAGUCCUUCGACAAGGAGUCACUUGUCUCCAGAGUGAAGUUGAGCCAGUCCUCGUCCAGGUCAGAGAUGUCAUCGACCCGAGUGGAGGUGGUCAACCCGGCAGCCCUGACAACCGCACUGGAGAAAACCCCAUACUCUGAGCGAAGGCACAAGCUGGAUCAACGCAGCUUUCACCUGUCAGGUAAAAGACCACAGCUGUAACGCUCUGAAAGAAAAUUAUCUUAUUAACACCAGUGUCCACAAAGAGAAAGAUGGGUGGUAAUAAUGUGGAGAAAUUGUUCAUUCAGCUGAUCUUGUAAUCUAGCAUCGUCUGGGCUGGUUUAUUAUAGCCCGAUCAAUUUGGGAUUUUUGGGUCCGAUAAUGAUUUUAGGGAGGCAAAAGUUAACAAUUACCUAUAUAUCUGCCAAUAUAUUGUUCUUUUAGAGUUGGAAUGAAAAACUUUUUUUUUAGGCACAAAUUGUGCUCUAAAUCAGGGAUCAUCAACUAGAUUCAGCCACAGGCCGAUUUUCUCUUGAGCGGAUGGCCUUGAGGCCGGAACAUAAUUACAAAUUUAUACACUGCAAAUUGACCACAAUAAGCCCAAACGGAUAAAAU